AGUCGAGCGAUGAGAUCACUUCGGUGAAGGAUUAGCGGCGAACGGGUGAGGAACACGUGAAGAAUCUGCCCUCCACUUUGGGAUAACACCGGGAAACCGGUGCUAAUACCGAAUAUUGAAACAUAAGUGGCAUCACUGAGUUUUGAAAGAAUCUCGGUGGAGGAUGACUUCGCGGCCUAUCAGCUAGUUGGUGAGGUAAUGGCUCACCAAGGCAACGACGGGUAGCCGGCCUGAGAGGGCGACCGGCCACACUGGGACUGAGACACGGCCCAGACUCCUACGGGAGGCAGCAGUGGGGAAUAUUGGGCAAUGGAGGAAACUCUGACCCAGCGACGCCGCGUGCGGGAUGAAGGCCUUCGGGUUGUAAACCGCUUUCAGUAGGGAAGAAGCGAAAGUGACGGUACCUACAAAAGAAGCACCGGCUAACUAUGUGCCAGCAGCCGCGGUAAUACAUAGGGUGCAAGCGUUGUCCGGAAUUAUUGGGCGUAAAGAGCUCGUAGGUCGUUUGUUACGUCGGAUGUGAAAACCUGAGGCUCAACCUCAGGCCUGCAUUCGAUACGGGCAAACUAGGGUUUGGUAGGGGAGACUGGAAUUCCUGGUGUAGCGGUGGANUG
rnacentral:rRNA from 1 species